UUUUUGGUAACUACAACUUCCAAGGAAUGACACUUUAACAUCUCUUUUGCCUUUACUGUUGCUUUCCUAAAAGCUUCUUCCACCUCCAUUUUCUCUCUUUUCCAUUUUCUGUGACCAAAUUCAUGCUCUUAAUGUCAAAGUUGAUUCACUGGUGGAUCUCGGUGGUAGUUGUGUUCUUGAUAUUAUUAAGAGAGAAGCGGAGAUUGUACUCUAUGAUUCUUUGCUUUAUACUGUAGUACUAUGUGUGUAAGUGAUUGAGUAGAGAUCUAGAUCGAUCUACAUCUGGCGGUGGUAUGGAGGUCGGAAGUCAACAUCAGUUCAUUCACCGGUGAAUCUCGGUCAUGAUUGUGGGGUUGAUAUUGUUUUUGUUUCACUUGAAAGGAGCUCAGUGGUUUUAUCUACGUCGUCUUGGUCCUCGGGAUUUUAUGAAGGUGGGGUGGUGUUUGAUUUAUGUAUUAGGUUUCUAAAUUUUGUGAAGAUUUUUAUGCAUCCAAUGGCAGAACAACAACAUAACUUAGUCAAAAUCCCCAAAAUUAAGGUUGAAAGGAAGUGUUGAAUGUGUGAGAUGGAUGAGAGUGGCUACAGCACACGGGUGAUGACGGCGAAGUUACUAUAAUUUGCAGAGCAGAGGCCUAGGGCAUUAUGUGUCUUAUCCGCUAAUGGGUCAGUUUUUGCUGUAACAUUACGGCAACCUGCAAGUUCUGGUUCUAUUAUCACUUAUGAGGUUACCUUUUGUUUAUGAUUUACUUGGUAUUGAAUGUUUAAAAACUUUCUUCCAGCCAGUUUCUUGAUCUCCAACCCGUACAAAUGUGAAUAAAAUAUGCACUGGAUUACUCAUUAGUAGGUCAUUGAUGACUAAAAGGCUAUAGGUGAUUUUAGAUUAUUUGUUGUGCAAUUGCUUAAGUGUAACAUCUUAAUGACAUAAGCUAUGAAAUCAUGUCAACAUAUUCAAGCGUUUGCUAAGAUUUUACUCCCUCCGUUUCAAUUUAUGGAACCUGGUUGUCUGAGCACAGAGUUUUAUAAUGAAAGGAAAUUUUGAAACUUGUGGUCUAAAACUAAGCGUAGAUGUUGAAACAAGUGGAACCCGAUGAACUAAAGCUCUCGCUAUGCGCGAGGUUCGGGAAGAGCUUUAGUUAGAAUCUACCGUGUGCAUUCUAUAUAGUUUUGAUGUCAAGUGAACUUUUGCAUAUUUAUUUUGCAACACUCGAAUUCUUAUCUUAAGAUUUUGAUCCAUUUAUAUCUUAAUCCUGAAAUAGUGUAUGAUAACAUUUGACACUAAAUCACUAUUGGUGGAGGAAUACCUUGAACCGGGAGACUACCGGAAACAACCUCUCCACUUUUGAGGUAGGGGUAAGGUAUGUGUAUGCUCUACCCUCCUUAGAUUUCUCUUUGUCGGACUACACUCGGUAUGAUGUUGUUGUUGUUGUAUUGGUGGAGUACUGGUAGGAAUGUAAGCAAGGAAAAAUGCUGCGUUUGAACCUCUCUUUGUCAUAUGUUUGUUGCUCUACAUAGUAAUGUAAAUAUAGUAAUAAAAGAAAUUUAAUUUCUCUAUGCAGAAUGCUUGUUUUCUCUACUAUGUUGAGUAAAAGGCAUUUUUCUGGCCAUAUGCUAAAGAUAGGGGCUCAUCUAAUUUGUAACAGACAUCAGAUGCCUCUUAGUUGAAGCACAUUAGGAUGCACAACUUUGCUUGACUGGCAAAUAAUAGACUCACUUCUCAGGACAGGUAGUCGAGUAAAAGUUAAGAUUUUGGGUGAGUAAGAUAAUUCUUCUACUUAUAUUUUUCCAGGUCAAGACAGAGCUAUGAGGGGCUCGCUUCAUAAAGCAAAGAUGCUAAUAAUCUUUUGAUGUUGAUAUCAUUUUCUCUUUAACAAAUAAUGAGUCAAGUUUAUCUGCAGGUGAGAGUGACGAUAAAGGAAAGGCAGUUCGGGUUUUGAUAGAUAUG